rnacentral:rRNA from 1 species
UUCUUACUGAAUUAAAAGUAAGUAAUAUCUGCUCAAUGAAAUUUAAAUAGCCGCGGAAACUUAACUGUGCUAAGGUAGCAUAAUCAUUAGCCUUUUAAUUAAAGGCUCGCAUGAAAGAUAAAACAUUUUAUUUACUAUAAUUAUUUAAUUAUUUUAAACUUUAAUUAAGAAUAAAAAUAUUCUUAUAUAAAAAAAAGACGACAAGACCCUAUUGAACUUUACUAAAGUUUAGCUGGGGUAGCUAUAAAAAUAUUAUUUUCUAUAAUAUGCAUAUAUUUUAGAAGAACCAAUAUAAUUGACUUUUCGAAAAAGUUACCAUAGGGAUAACAGCGUAAUAUUUUUUUGAAGCUCUUAUUUUUAAAAAAGAUUGCGACCUCGAUGUUGAAUUAGUGUAACUUAUUAAUGCAAUAAUUAUUAAAGUAGGUCUGUUCGACCUAUAAAACACUACAU